rnacentral:lncRNA from 1 species
CAUUUCUGGAAAAGGUGUCAUGUGGUUGUUCUUAUAGCACUUGCAUAGGUUGACAACUCAUUUGAUUAAUGAGGCCAGAGCUGCAUUUUCAUCCCGGGUGCUCUAAUUCAUUUACCUGUUCUUUGUAGAGUACCUGUUUCAUUCCGUGCACUGUGCAGGAUUUGAGAGAGAGACAGUAAUGAGACAAAUAAAAGCUAUUGUCUGAAAUAGGUUUUUGUGGCAUGCUCUUCACUGCUAUUUAAAAACAGCUCAAGUAUAGUGUUAAAUAUUGAAGAUUGUGUAUUUAUGUAAAAAUGGGCUGUACUGUUAUUAAAUACAUGCUCAAAUAGAUUGUUUUAGAUUGGAAAUACUACUCAGUUAUCUAAAAUAAUACAUAAUUAUUUGACUUCUGUUUUCCAGUUUCUGCCUCUGGUUU